rnacentral:rRNA from 1 species
GACGAACGCUGGCGGCGUGCCUAACACAUGCAAGUCGAACGGGGAUAUGAUUUCGGUUGUAUCCCAGUGGCGAACGGGUGAGUAACGCGUGAGCAACCUGUCCUUUUGAGGGGGAUAACACUUGGAAACAGGUGCUAAUACCGCAUAAGACCACGGGUCCGCAUGGACCAGAGGUCAAAGGAGCAAUCCGCAGAAGGAGGGGCUCGCGUCCCAUUAGGUAGAUGGCGGGGUAACGGCCCACCAUGCCUUCGAUGGGUAGCCGAGCUGAGAGGCUGAUCGGCCACACUGGAACUGAGACACGGUCCAGACUCCUACGGGAGGCAGCAGUGGGGAAUAUUGGGCAAUGGGCGAAAGCCUGACCCAGCAACGCCGCGUGAGGGAAGAAGGCCUUCGGGUGUAAACCUCUGUCCUUGGUGACGAAAAAAUAGACGGUAGCCAAGGAGGAAGCCCCGGCUAACUACGUG